AAACCAUAUCAGUUUCUUAGAAGAAGAGCCGGUGGUGGAGAUACUGCCCUUCACGCUGCCAUUAAGAGAGAGCAUUUCGAUUUGGCAUUCCACAUAAUCAAAAUGUGCCCAGAUCUUGUGGGCAAAUCCAAUGAGAAGGGAAUGACUCCUCUUCAUGUCCUUGCCAGCAAACCUUCUGCCUUCAGAAGCGGCCUGCGCCUCUCGUGGUGUAAGCAAAUUGUAUACUACUGUGUCCAUGUCGA